rnacentral:rRNA from 1 species
UUCGCAAUGCCCGAAAGGGUGACGAAGCGACGCCGCGUGCGGGAAGAAGGCCUUCGGGUUGUAAACCGCUGUCGGGAGUUAAGAAAUGCAAGGGUGUUAACAGCAUCCUUGCUUGACUAAAGCUCCGGAGGAAGCCACGGCUAACUCUGUGCCAGCAGCCGCGGUAAUACAGAGGCGGCAAGCGUUGUUCGGAAUUAUUGGGCGUAAAGAGCACGUAGGCGGCUGUGUAAGUCGGUUGUGAAAGCCUUCCGCUCAACGGGAGAACGGCAUCCGAUACUGCAUGGCUUGAGUGCGGGAGGGGAGAGUGGAACUUCUGGUGGAGCGGUGAAAUGCGUAGAUAUCAGAAGGAACACCGGCGGCGAAGGCGACUCUCUGGCCCGUAACUGACGCUGUGUGUGCGAAAGCUAGGGGAGCAAACGGGAUUAGAUACCCCGGUAGUCCUAGCCGUAAACGAUGGGCACUAAGUAGAGGGGUUUU